rnacentral:misc_RNA from 1 species
GAUGAAGAACGUAGUGAAAUGCGAUAAGUAAUGUGAAUUGCAGAAUUCAGUGAAUCAUCGAAUCUUUGAACGCACAUUGCGCCCGCCAGUAUUCUGGCGGGCAUGCCUGUUCGAGCGUCAUUUCAACCAUCAAGCCCCAGGCUUGUGUUGGGGACCUGCGGCUGCCGCAGGCCCUGAAAACCAGUGGCGGGCUCGCUGUCACACCGGGCGUAGUAGAUUUUAUCUCGCUCAGGGCGUGCUGCGGGUCCCGGCCGUUAAAAGCCUUUUUUUACCCAAGGUUGACCUCGGAUCAGGUAGGAAGACCCGCUGAACUUAAGCAUAUCAAUAAGCGGAGGA